rnacentral:rRNA from 1 species
UAAGGAAUAUUGGGCAAUGGACGCAAGUCUGACCCAGCCAUGCCGCGUGCAGGAUGACAGCCCUAGUGGUUGUAAACUGCUUUUAUACGGAAAAAAACCCCUGGUCGUGCAUCAGGGCUGAUGGUACCGUAAGAAUAAGGAUCGGCUAACUCCGUGCCAGCAGCCGCGGUAAUACGGAGGAUCCAAGCGUUAUCCGGAUUCAUUGGGUUUAAAGGGUGCGCAGGCGGGAUGAUAAGUUAGUGGUGAAAGCCUACGGCUUAACUGUAGAAUUGCCAUUAAUACUGUCAUUCUUGAGUACAGAUGAAGUGGGCGGAAUGUGUCAUGUAGCGGUGAAAUGCUUAGAUAUGACACAGAACACCGAUAGCGAAAGUAGCUCACUAAACUGUAACUGACGCUCAGGCACGAAAGCGUGGGGAGCAAACAGG